rnacentral:tRNA from 1 species
GCCUCGGUAGCGUAGUGGUCAAGACGCUCGCCUGGUAAACAGGAGGGCGUGGGUUCGAACCCAGCCGAGGCA